rnacentral:lncRNA from 1 species
AGUUGCUGAAUACAAGCAUCUGCCUGAGGCCAGCCCUCAGAGCUAACUAGACAUGAGAGGGCAAUCCUGACCACUGGUCCUGCUAGCUAGGGGUGAUGGGAGUUGUAGUCCAACAACAGCUGGGGAACCCAAGUUUGAAAAACACAGGAGCAACCCGUGUAUGUAUGCGUACAUUUCAAACAUUUCUAUACCACCAUUCAUCAGAUAUUUCGAGGCAGUUUCCAAAAUCCAAAACAAGUCAAACAACACAAAUAUAUGCAAGGCAAGAGAGUAGUAAGGAGAAGAUAGGACCAUACAGGUGAGAGAAGCCAAACUUUCCUCUCCAUUCUGUCUUACCUUGCUGUGCUCUGUUGCUUUUUAAAGUACCGUACUUCUUCCCCAGCUUAUCACCGCUACUGCAAGAAAGCUGGACUAGGCAGUGAAAACUGUUGAAGCAACUGAGUGCACAUAGAUAGGGACGGGGGCUCAGGUUCCCUCACCCACACUGCUCCUUUUUAUUAAAAAAAAAAAGACACAUGGAUGAAUUCAUGUAGUUGCCCCCAUCGUGUCUAGUUUGGCCCUUAAAUGCUUUUGACACCGAAUAGUUAACUUAGCAGGCUCUAAUCUAAAAUGAUUAAGAGUGACAGCUAGCGAACCUUUGAGUCAUCUCGCAUGAUGCUAUUGAGGAAGUAGGAGCUAAAUAACUGGCCCCAUUUCCACCCCUUGCUGCUUCUUGCCUCCAAACAAUUCUCUCUGACGGCUGCACACUGUCAUCUCCUGCUCAUCCUGGGGAUGGGCCUCUGGAUACCCUGCGUUAAUUUUCUACAGCAAAAGUGGGGAGGUCUGAGAAAUUAAGCACCAGGACCUUUCUUCAUUUGUUCCUGCUCCCUUGCAUAUUUUGCAUGCAGCCCCUAUUUACAUGGACAGGCGGAGUCCCCCCAACCCCAGGCAACUCCCGAGUGGAAUGACUCAAGACAACGUGCUAUGUGAUUAAAAUUGGCCACAACUUUAUUAAGAUUCAGAUGUGGGGAGACCUUGGCUUAGGCAUUGGGCGUUUAUCCUUCCCAGUCCCCAGCCGGGGAUCUGGGGGAUAUCAGGGUUAUCCAGAAUGUGUGGAGAUUGGGCUGGCUCUGGAGAACAUAUGUUCAAGCAGAGAGCCCGCCCCCCGUUUCGCCGCCGUCGCAGGGGAGAGCAAUGACAACCUCUCAGCAUAUGGCCAAUGCCUCCCCUCAAAACCCCUUUAACGGGGAACCCUGGGAUUGCUGCCGCUUCAUGCCCCCCCCCCCAUUUAGGGAAGAUAGACUGUGGAUUCUGCCCAAGUCCUGAAACCAUCAAAGUUGUGAGUUUUGCUACGAGGAAGGCAAAACCUGCCAAUGCAGGAAAAUUCCUUUCCGGCCCUUCAAUGGCGACCCUGACGUAGCAGUACCCGCAUACUUGUGGAGAAGAGGUUAACCUGCAAAAGAAGGCUUAACUGAGGGAGGGCAGGGUGGGAGAAGCUCUGGAGCCAACUGACAAUUCCCAGGUAAGAUCCACCCUCUACUGUGUGGGCAGGGUGGUCCCUCCCCUUACCUGGCCUGAUCCCCUGGCAACACCUCCCCAGGUGGGAUUGGGCAAUUGGUUGAGGUAGGCAGAGACCUCCAGGUAUCCAGCCUGGGGAGGGCGAAGCCAGGCUGUACUGCCAGGAGCCGCAUAGGGUCCGGGGGACUGCACUCGACCACACAAAAGGCACCCCCCAUUUGAUGUGGGGAGUGGUCAUUAUUUGACUUGGCUCCAGGCUCAAGCCUGUGGUGCUAUCAAGGUAGGUGUUUUCAGGGGAAUGCUUAGGAACAGGGUUGAUGAGGGCUUCCAAAGAAAAAACACAUAGGUUUGUGGAUCAGAACAAGUCUCAUUUUUUUUCCACUCGUCAGAAACUGGAGGGACUCCCAUUCCUACCACCCUGUCAAUGGUCUUCAGUACUAGCAGGGUGUUAGCAGACAGACUCUCUGUUAAUAAAAAAAAAAAAGUUGGUUUUCAUUUGCCCCUCUGCUUUUUCUUAAUGCCCUGUCACUGCUUUCCUCUUUCUUCAGCUGCUUCACUACAACAGUAACCAACCGACUUCCACCUCCCUUCAGUUUUCCCUUCACAUCCAUAUUGCAAUCUGGGUAGUGUGUCCUUCAGGACACAAAAAUGGUGCCACAAAUUCACACUCCAGAAAAUCCUUUAAGAGGGUGGUAUUUACCAAAAAAGACAUUUGUAGCUUGGAGAUCAUACAAUAUGCAGACACAGAAGGAAUAUUUUCUCAGUUGUGCGUAUGGAAAGGCUUUGGGGCAGGGGGCAUCAAUGACCUUAGAGGGCAGAACUACUUCGCAGUGCCAGUUUUGUUUGUUAAAAUAAAAUUGUGUGUGUGUGUGUGUGUGUGUGUGUGUGUGCGCACGCAAAUUCCUGCAACCACCAAGCAUAUUGCUUGUCACUCUCCUUUUCUGAGCCCGGACAGAACUCUGCUUUAUGGAAAUUGGUCAUUUCAUAUAGGUAGGAGAAUGACCAGUUCUCCAGGAACACAGUUUUGCCCAAGUACGAAAGACACAUAUUUGGAGCCAUGAGAAAGCAGGAAUUUAAACAGUUGUUCAACCAUCAUGAAUGUUCCUUUUCAUAGGAAAUUUUGAUAAAGUACAAAAAAGAUUUACCGGUAUUUGAUUUGUGUACGCUGCUGCAAAUGUUUCUAAAGUUGAACUGAGUAUUGCUAUGCCAAAUGCUGCUUCCAAGAAAUAAUUUAGGCAAUUAUUAAGUUGAUUUGAAAAGAAGAAGAAGCCACCUGUUCAGUUUUACAUAAGAGGAAGGAACUUCUUGAAAAGUAGUGCUUGAUUCUAAUGAAUAAUCCCUGCAACCAAUGGUCAGAGGCAGGCAUCCAGUCCUGUUCAGAAAAGAUAUAAAUUUUACUGUGUAUGUGUCCUGAAAGUUUGGAAGGACAAGACAUAAUCAUUAUGUUGUUGAAUUCAGUUUCCAAUUGUGUGCAUGUGUACUUGUGAUGAAUUCCAUUGAACUCAGUGUGAAUGAACUUCAGAAUAAAUAUGAAACAGUUUGGGCAGUUUUAAGAUGUGGGAGAGCAAUCAUGAACCCUUAGUGAUGAGGGGAGGGUUGCUGGAGUUUUUUUUUGGGGGGGGACACGUUAAAUUAGAAAAUGGCUAUGCAGAUUGCAUGGAUUAUUUGAAUUUGAAAAUGUCCAAUUCACACUUGAUUAUUUUUUUUAAAUGCCCUGGAACAUUUGCUCCUCAGCUGUUGUUGGACUACAACUCCCAUCACCCCUAACUAGGAGGCCCAGUAGUCAGGGAUGAUGGGAGUUGUAGUUCAAAAAACCUCUGGCGACCCAGGGAUGAGAAAGGUUGCCCUAGAGGGUGAUCUGAAAUAAUAGCAUGUUUGCUUUACAUGAAUUCAGUAAAUAAUACUGAAAACUGCCCAGCUUGCGAAAUACUGUAUUUAUAUCUGGCAUCUGUUAAAUGUUACUAAUAACCUUUGUGAAAUGGAAAACGUUACACAUAACAUUUACUGCCCCACUUCAUUGCUUAGACCAAUAGUAUUUUACCUCUUCAGAUCCAAGGUUAUUGUGGGUUGCUUUAUCUAUUUCUCUCUUUUUCUCCUCUCUCUCUCUCUCUCUCUCUCUCUCUCUCUCUCUCUCACACACACACAUCCCUAACAAAAAGGGAAAAGAUGAUAGUGGCACUAGUAGUGUGAUUCACCAGAAGCUUGGAGGUAUGGCUCUCUCAUGGGCAAUGGCCCACUAACUGAAGAGGAAUGCCUUAGGCCAAACAUCUGAGUCUGUUGUAGAAGUAGGUUUGGAACUCCAUUUUGAUUAGAGCCCAGUUUCCCAAGGUAUAAAUCGAACCGACCCAACCCAACCACAUGGCUCUAAUUUGUAUAUCCAUCCAUCCAUCCAUCCAUCCACCACCCACCCACCCACCCUCUCCUUGUGACUAGUUCUCUGUGAUUUACAGGAGAUGCCUCUGGUCAUCUUCAUCCGAAUUGUGCCUUGUAGCAUAAUCCAGGCUUUGCCCCUGACCUUUGUGUUCCUUUACUUUCCUUCUUGACAUUCUGUCCUGUCCAGCCUGGUCCUGGUUUAGGGCUAUGUUGCUGGCAGCAGCCAGCUAAAAAUAGAAAAGUCAUGCUGACGUACGACUUUCUGUGAAGCAAAUGUGCUUUCCAGAAAGUUGUAAUAGCGGGUGGGUGGUUUUUUGUUUUUUAAAAGGACCCACCUCUGUUGCAAGGUUAGCUUGCUGAGAAGGAACAUCUUGUUUUCCUUUACUUCCUAGCAGGGGCAGCCUUCCAGAUGACAUUGGACUCCAACUCCCAUCAUCCCCAGUCAAAAGAACCAG